GGCAACACCAUCCGUGAGCAAUACACGCUGCUGUUAUAACCCUGCUGUGAAAAGGUGGAGCAAGUUCAGUAAACAAAAAUACUUUGCCUUGGUUCAAAUUGUGGUGAAACAAAGCAUCAGCCAGCGCUGGCUGUUCAAUUAAACUGUUUGUAGUGCAGGCUUUGGAGAGGAAAAUGCUGAAAAAAGGAUUUGGGGAUCGUACGUUUUGCAUGGAGAAAACGUUUAAUGAGAAAUUUUCCAAACCUCUUUGCAGCUCACAGGCAGCACUCUUCCCCUGCAUGUGACAUGUGCAUUGCCCUCAAAUUCAGAGGAUGGCUCACAGCUGCUGUGACUGCAACCAGGAUGUAUGUGGGGCUGAGAAUUGCCCAUGGGAGCCAGGAGGGGAGCAGUUUGCUGUUGUGCACCAUCUCUAGUCUCUUCAGGGAACUGCCAGUUCUGCAUUUCCUUACAGCAUAUUUCCAUCCAAGAGAGCUUCUCCUCAGCUUCCCUGAUCUGUCAGAUGCUCAUUAUUUUGUUAUUUCCAUUCUCCUGUGUGAUUGUGCUGGCGGGAAGAGACACUCAGGUAGCUUUUCCUUUUGGGAUGUGAAUUAAGGACUAGUCUGAUAGGGAUGCAGAACUGAAAGGGGGCCACUGGAAAGCUCCCAAAUCCUUCUGGCGGUGGGAUGCCCAGGUGGGACCAAAUGGGGACUGCAGCAGAGAGAGAGCUGCUUGGAGAACAGAUCCAGAUUUAGAUGGGCCUUCUAUGCAGGGCAGCACAUAGGAAGGGGUGAUCUGCAGCAGCCCACCCCCUACACACUUUAAUGCCUCCUGGGAGCAUUCUCCAUACACGUCAGGACCGAGAUGACAAGGUCUGCUAAUACCUUGAUUCUUCAGUUUAUAUUCAUACUGUAAGCUCAGAAGAACGACAGUGUUCCCCACCUGCAGAGCCCGGCGUCGAUGUGGGUUUGGCUGAAGUCUCCGUACAGCGGCACCACCUACACAACUGACAUUACUGUGCUGGCCUGAAUUCCUUCACUUUUCCCCCGUGGCCAUUUGGAGUCAAGUGCCACUGGAAACACGGCUCCCGCCAGGAGGAAUUUCAGAUGCAUUCAGAUCUGAGACAGUUUUGAAUGUAAUUUUGAGUUUUACAAAGGCUCUUCCGCUCGCUUGCUUGCCGCAAGUAAUGAAGCAGCAAGAUAAAAGGCAAGGCCACGGAAGGUUGUUAAAAAAUUACUUGCAAAUUAAUGUGAGGACAAGGUGUAUGAGUUAAUAUCAUAUAAAGACCCUUAAAAUCGGCAUACAUGCAUGCACCCUCCGAGCACUGACAUUCGCAGGCAGAGCUACACUGGUAAACUGAGCCCAAGGGGCUUGAUUAACAGGAAAUUUUCAGAAUGCCAAUUAGAGCAAAGUUUACCGAACAAAUUGUUUGCACUUGUACCCUAGAACCAUCAUGAAUUUUAAUUCAGCAUGGAUUUACGUGGCUGAAACAAUAAUUAAAGAUACAUGAACGCUUCACGUUUGGGAGACUCCCCCAUGGCUCUGCUGCGUUGGGUGGGAGCAAGGUAUCUGGGCAGGGGCUGCUGCUGCCAGGCUGGUGGGUGUGGGAUGCAUGUGGCUUUUCCCUGCAGAUACAUAAGGCAGUUUCCCUAGUCCUGAGCUCACCAAUUUGUGCAGUGUUAGUCUCUUGUUUCUUUUUUCUUUUUCCUCUUUUUUUUUUUUUCUUUUUUUCUUUUUUUUCCCCUUUAUGCUAUCUGACAAAGAAUGAUCCAUGGGGUGUUUUCUCAAUAAAUGCUAGCUUGUUGUUUCCUGCCUUUCA
rnacentral:lncRNA from 1 species